AUGGAGUUUCAAGGUCACCUUGAAAAAGGAUUCUCAAAAUUCUUCAAAGUGGCUUACUUAAAAGUUGCAGCAUGUCCUGAGAGCUACAGUCCCAAGAAACACAGUUAAAUACGAUUCACAUACGCACGCACGGAUACACACACGAACACGGCAUGGAACGAUAACAAAACGCAGCAGGGAGCCCGCCACUGCCCUCAAAUGCUGAUGAUGAAGCAAUAUGGAAUGCCUGGAUGAAGCAACAUGUAACAUGAUCAAAAAACCCUAUUAAAAUCUCUGAAAACUGACGAGGAUGCAGCACAAAACUGAUAAAAGGGUGCGUAUUAAACUGAUAAAAAAGACAAGUAAUGGGCACGUGGCCCCUCAGUUUGAAUGAACAUGACGCAUCUGCUGGCAACCUUUCACGUGAGCUUUAUUUGAGAGCACAGACAUUAACGAUUUCUUUAAAAAAUUACAAAUUCAUUAUAAUUAAACUGAUCCAUAUCAGUUUUAUCUUGCUGCGAACAAAAUUUAUUUUCCAAAUGUUUUUCAGCAAUUUAUCCCCGAAAGAGACCUGAAAACACACAUGAAAGAUUUAUUGUUGAUUGCAUUUCCUGUCCAGUCUGAAUGAUUUUUACUCUUGUUUUGAUCAUUUAAUUUUUUCCCAGGGCUCUGCCAAGCACAUUAAGUUUAGUGAAUAUAGCCUGAACACAAACAGGAUGAAGGUACUUCUCUCCAGGGUUGCUUUGGUACAGCUGGGUAUAAAAUGCAAUGUUUCAUUCUCUGGAUUUUUAUUAUUAGUGAACAGUCAUAUUACCUCUAUGACUGGAGAGUCUCUACUGGUUAUUUGUCCUGUUGAUGAAAUCGUGGUUUG